UACGUAGGUGGCAAGCGUUGUCCGGAUUUACUGGGCGUAAAGAGCGCGCAGGCGGUCGUUCAAGUCGAGUGUGAAAGCCCCCGGCUCAACUGGGGAGGGUCACUCGAUACUGAUCGACUCGAAGGCAGAAGAGAGAAGCGGAAUUCCCGGUGUAGUGGUGAAAUGCGUAGAUAUCGGGAGGAACACCAGUGGCGAAGGCGGCUUUCUGGUCUGCUCUUGACGCUGAGGCGCGAAAGCUAGGGUAGCAAACGGG
rnacentral:rRNA from 1 species